rnacentral:rRNA from 1 species
UAUGAUUCAUGACUGGGGUGAAGUCGUAACAAGGUAACCGUAGGGGAACCUGCGGUUGGAUCACCUCCUUA